rnacentral:miRNA from 1 species
AGCAUAGUCUAUCCGGCCUGA